rnacentral:rRNA from 1 species
CAGUAGCCGCGGGAAUACAGAGGGUGCGAGCGUUAAUCGGAUUUACUGGGCGUAAAGCGUGCGUAGGCGGCUUCUUAAGUCGGAUGUGAAAUCCCUGAGCUUAACUUAGGAAUUGCAUUCGAUACUGGGAAGCUAGAGUAUGGGAGAGGAUGGUAGAAUUCCAGGUGUAGCGGUGAAAUGCGUAGAGAUCUGGAGGAAUACCGAUGGCGAAGGCAGCCAUAUGGCCUAAUACUGACGCUGAGGUACGAAAGCAUGGGGAGCAAACAGGAUUAGAUACCCGCGUAGUCCCUGUCACUUAUAC